AUCCCCCUUCCUGGUGCGGUAAUCUAUUGCGGCCAACUCUCCAUCGUCUGUCGUCGGGAAUGAACACCUGCAAGACAGCGUCCACACAGAUCGAAUUUAUAUCCGACGGAGACCCUCCGAUGCCUAACUCAGAGAGAAAAAUUGAUGAACAAAAGUUGAAUGUAAGAAGAGUAGCAGAGUUUUGGCCCAGAGUUAGCUUACCAGCCCUGUUUUCCUUAUCCCUUUUUAUAGAUGAGGUUCUCAUAACCAUCGGAUGUGGUCCCGUAUUUUAUGGCACUAAAUCAUUGGGCCAUAAUCACGUAGUGAAUCAUU
rnacentral:lncRNA from 1 species